ACUGUCCCUUCUUUGACCAUUGGUAACAUUACCAAUACGACAGCUGGCUUCGGAUACCGUAACCACACCGCUAUCACCUGAACCUAGAAAUAAAAGGAUGGAGGGGUAUUCCCAAUGUAUAUCAAAAUUAUUGGAUACCUUGAGAACUGGCACAGGUAUCGGCUAAUGAUUCGACAGAAGCCAAAUAUGGAUUAGUCGCAGACGAUGGAUUUCCCUGAUUGCUACAGCCACUUGACGAUGUACUAGAGGCUAUCGAACUACCAGACAAUGGUCUUCCACUUCUACAUCUUCUUUUAUAUCUGAGCUGACCUCCCCACAAAGCUGACCGAAUAUGGAACCUCGUUGUGAGUGCGGUACCAAACUCAAUCGUUUCUGCAAAGCCGCUGGUAUAUUACAAGACGCUGAGAGGACUACUUGGUGAUCUUCGUAACCAUUUCCACGACGUGCCAGCUCGUCGAACAUUCCCAAUAAUUGUGGCACCAGCAUCAACGAAUCGUGCCCCAAUGGAAGAAAGAAAAAGGGACAUCAAAGCGGAGACAACCAACAAUAAGAAAAAUAAGUAAGAGAAACUUCCCUAUUAAGAUGAGAUGGGGUUGGAAAGAGAGAGAGAGAGAG